CUGCGUUCUCUCUUAUAUAAAGCGACCCUGCAACUCUACCUUCUCCAUCAUCUUCUGUGCAGUUGGCUGUGUUUUUAUCCCUCAUCUUGGAGGUGAAGAUUUCAUCUUGUUAUCACUCACUCAGAGUUAAUCAUGGAGUUUGAUUCAGUUGAAUGAAGAUGGAAAUCAGACUUGAUCUUUAAGUUGAAUCCAGUUGAAUGAUGGAAGGGAGAUUUGCGUAAUCUUCCAUUUUGAAAUAUGGAAUUUGGGGCUUACUUAAUGACUAAAGGAAUGCUGAGGGAUGUGUCUGUGAUUCUUGAAGGCAGUCUAUUGUACUUGAUGGUGGAGGAUAUAAAACUAGCUUGGGAAUAAUAACAAGUUUUAAUUUGUUUCUGUUAUGAUAUCCAAGGGAUAUUUGGUUUCAGAUUAAUUAUGUUAAGAAUUAAUUUUAUUGCAUUCAAAACAAUUAUGUAGGAUGUUUGAUUAUUAGUAGAAUUGAUUUGAAGAUUUAACAAUGAGUGAAUCACUUAUACACUACUAUAAUUUUUGUACUGACAAUCAAUCAAAUAUGUUAAUAGUGCCAUAUUAUUUGCUCAUUUAAUUAGAUUAAAAUAAAAAGACACUAUUAACAAAUUUGAUUGAUUGUUUUUACACUGGUAAUGUAUAAGUGAUUAACUCUCAAAAAAUUCAAAUCUA